CCAGGAUUCCACUCAGGAUACCACAGUACAUGUGGUUUUCAGCGCCUUCUCCAGAUUCCUGAACCCUUCUAGAUGUUGGAUCAAGACCACCGGCAUUAAGUGGGGAAUUAUGCUCCAUCCCCUUGAAGCUACAAGAUGCUCCGGACUCAUCCUGUUCACGUGGAAGGAGAAGAGCUGUUUCACUGAAGCCAGG